GUCUGUGCUUAGAGGAUGCCUGGGAUGUGUUUGACAGAGCUGCACUGAGCUUGGCAAUAUCCCCUGACUUCUCACAUAAGAGCAGCAAAUAUUUCAGGCUCUGGUCUUUCUACAAAGAUUAACAAAUGAUGUCUCUGCUAUGAUCUCCCUAACUUUUUAAAGGUCUUUAACUAAAGACCUAAAGUGCUUUCUGUCUUGAUGGUAUCCUGCAAUACUGUGAGAUGGUGGCACGACAAACCUCAUCCCAAACCAUGCAGCAUAUGGAGCAUCUUUCAUGUCUCAAAGUUGGCUUAAUCAGAGUCUUCCUGUAACUGAAGUGCGGAGCAGAAUCUGCCAGUUCCUUGUGCAAUGUCUGUUUUCAUAUAUGCUUGUUUGAGUAAUUUUCUCAUUAGAGAUUCUGCAAGUUUGUUAUUCUUCUCUGUCAUGUGGAGAAUCUUAAGGUUUACAACUGGAAAGUCCUGUGUUCAGAAGGGAACAGGCAAUGAUGUGCUCCCUGCUAAUCUGCUGAAACUAUUGGCCUGACUGUAGUCUGUAUCCAGAACCAGCAUUUUUUGCUCAAGUCUCUGAUCAGCAUCCUCCCUGUAUCAUUAUCUUGGGAAAUAAGCUCCUACACAGUAAGGGUAAAUUGUGACAUUGCCUCACCAAAGAAGGGCAAGGGAGCUGGAGAAGGGUCUGGGGCAAAAAGUCUACUGAGGA